rnacentral:lncRNA from 10 species
AUUAUAACAUAUCUUUUUAUUCAUCACCUAGAUGAUGUAACUCUUUUCUAUCUGGGCCCUGCCAAAAGGGAGGAUUGCGGCAUAUCACUGGACCCAGCAUCUAGGUGAUGUGAUUCUCCUGUUUUCCCUGGGCCUCAAAUAUUUUGGAUAUUGUAAAAUAUUGCUAGGCCCACUACCUAUGGGAUUGCAUGCUCCUGCCUGGGCUCUGCCCACAGGGACCUUGUGACAUAUAUCUGCGUCCAUGACCUAAAAGGUGACACUUCUUGCCUGCACUGUGCCCUGAACAGGAAAUAUUGUGACAUAUCCCUGGAACCAGACACCAGGUGAUAUGGCUCUUCUGCCCCUGUCUUGCCCCCAGGGAGCAUUGUGACAUAGUGCUUAGCUCAGCACCCAGGUGAUGUGACUCUGUUGCCUGUGCUGUGCUUUCAGGAGAGAAUUGUAACAUAUCCCUGGCUGAGCACCCAGGUGAUAUGACACUCCUGCUUGUUUCCUUCCCUCGGGGAAGAUUGUGAGAUACCUUGGCUGAAAUCCCAGCACCUGAGUGAUCUGACUCUCUUGCCUAAGACCAGCCCACAGAUGGAAUAGUGACACAUAGCUGAACCCAGAACUGAGGGGAUGUGAUUCUAUUUUUCUGCAUUGGUGCUGCUCACAGGGGACAUUGUGACAUAUCGCUGGACCUUACACUUAAAUGAUUUGAGUCUCCUCCCCUGCCUUGGCACUGCCUACGGAAGGCGUUGGGACAUGUCUCUGAGCCCUAUGCCCAGGUUAUGUGACUCUCCUGCCUGUUCCCCGACCACAUAAGCAAUUGUGACAUAUUGCUGGGUUUGACACCCUGGUAAUGUAACUCUACUGCCAAAAAGGAGCAUUAUGACAUAUAUUUCCAUUCAUUACCCAGGUGUUAUGACUCUCUUCUCCUGCCUGGUCCCUGCUCACAGAGGGAAUUUUGACAUAUCCCUUGGCUCAGUACCAACAAGUGUGGUUCUUCUUCCAUCAUAAGUUCUGCUGGCAAGGGAGAUGGAGACAUAUUGUGGAGCUCUAUGCCAAUGUGACAUUACUGUUUGCUUUGGCCUGGACCUCAAAAGGCAUUGUGACAUAUUGCUGGGCCCAGCAACAUGGUGACAUGAGUCUCCUGUAUGGACCAUGACAACAGAGCAUUGUGACAUAUCUUUAAGAGCAUCAACUAUUUGAUGUGACUCUCCUUUUCUACCAAGGUUUCCCCACAAUGAGAGAUUGUGACGUAUCUUCUGAC